AGGCGCAAAAGAGUUCACCCGCAAAUGCAGGAACACCGGAAAUAAUAACUAAAACAAGGAAUGAGAAAUGGUGGAAGCUACGAGAACGAAGAGACAUUUUUUUCCGGAUAAACGUGGACCGAGCUUUGGAAAUUCUGCCCUUGUGCAAACUCCACCUACCGAGCAAGCUACAGGACCUGAGCCCUAGGACCAUGCCCCAGGACUACCUGACAUGAUGACUCCUUGCUGUCCCCAGUCCACCUGGCCGUGCUGCUGCUCCAGUUUCAACUGUUCUGCCUUAUUAUUAUUCGACCAUGCUGGUCAUUUAUGAACAUUUGAACAUCUUGGCCAUGUUCUGUUAUAAUCUCUACCCGGCACAGCCAGAAGAGGACUGGCCACCCCACAUAGCCUGGUUCCUCUCUAGGUUUCUUCCUAGGUUUUGGCUUUUCUAGGGAGUUUUUCCUAGCCACCGUGCUUCUACACCUGCAUUGCUUGCUGUUUGGGGUUUUAGGCUGGGUUUCUGUACAGCACUUUGAGAUAUCAGCUGAUGUACGAAGGGCUAUAUAAAUAAAUUUGAUUUGAUUUGAUUUGAUGUAACUUUACUAAACGAGCACCAUUGUGAGAAUCCUCUAUUUGUAAUAAUAAUGAUCAGUGAUGAGUUGGACUAUUAGGCAUAGGCAACAGAUCUUGAUGAGUUAUCGAUUGGAGCGCCCUUCCUGGUUCUAAAAGGACAGCGCUAAAUACACUUUGAUUUGAUUAGCUUGAACACAUGGUUACAAUAUACCUAUUACAGAAUAACAAGAGGGAUGAACUAACAAAUCAUGUAAUUUAUUUGCAUAGAUUUAAUCAUCAAAUCAAUUGACCGAGUAGUGAACAUAAAUCAUUACUACAAAGAAUUGCAGGAAAACAAGCUUUUUGUGUGGUGUAUUCAUGCAUCUCAAUAAACUAUAACCUAAAUGCAAUUUACUGAAAAAUAGGGGUCGUUUAUGAUUUCGAAGGACCAAUAAAAAGGGAUAAACAACUUAGGUGCUGAAUUUUAGUCAGGUAGCAACCACCACAGGGUGUCCGUUCAGAACACGAGGAAGCAGUAGUUCAAGGGUUUAAUGAGGAUCCGCACAAGCAUACAACAUCACUCUCUCUGGUACUAAUUGUAGUUCUGUAAUGAAAAGAGAACUUGGGCUAUAGCACAGUAUGGGGAAAAAUAUGUCAACAUGCUGUUGGAUCCUGUAUUUUACAUUAUAGCCAUUAGAUAUAUAUGAUUAACUAUCAUCUGAUGUUGGUUGUGUGAGGUGUCUGCAUUUGUGCACUGGAGCAUCAUUAUGAGAUUAAACAACUGCUUGCUACUUGCCUGUUUGUGUGUGACAAGAACUGAGUAACAUGAUGUGAUCUGCAUGUUGCAAAACUGUAGAUAACAGCCCAGCAGAUGCUUUGUCCUUGUGUGUUGUAUGUAACAAUAUUGAGCACAUGGUGUGACUUGCUGUAUCUUACAAAGUUGUGAUAGGGAGGGGUGGUCAUCCCGAGGUUUAACUGAGAUGGAAAAAUACAGAAGACGCAAUGAGUUGGGGUGGCACAUUCAGAGCGGGGUGUUGCGAGAACAAGCUGUCUUUUGUUAGAUAACAGGAGACAGGUGCGAGAUAACGGUAUGGAGCAUGAGAACCUGGAUGUUCUUCACAAGCAACAGUUACAUCUAUCAACAGAAGCGCCAAGAGGCGGGGACCCGCCUGAGCGCCUGCAAUAGGCUGAGCAAGUUUAAACCACGCCCAGUCUCUACUGUGAUAGACAGUUCCAACCCGUCUGUUGGCCUAUCACAGUAUAAAGAAUACUGUUUUACAAACGUCUUGUCAGUUCCCUGUUCUGCCCUGCGUGGUAUUACAGUGAGCCCGUAUAUACAAAAGUUGCAUUUGCCAUUUAUUACUUAGCUAAUAAAAAAUACA